rnacentral:rRNA from 1 species
GACGUAGGGCGCGAGCGUUGUCCGGAUUUAUUGGGCGUAAAGAGCUCGUAGGCGGCUUGUCGCGUCGACUGUGAAAACCCGCGGCUUAACUGCGGGACUGCAGUCGAUACGGGCAGGCUAGAGUUCGGUAGGGGAGACUGGAAUUCCUGGUGUAGCGGUGAAAUGCGCAGAUAUCAGGAGGAACGCCGGUGGCGAAGGCGGGUCUCUGGGCCGAUACUGACGCUGAGGAGCGAAAGCGUGGGGAGCGAACAGG